CUACGGAGGGCGCAAGCGUUGCCCGGAAUCACUGGGUGUAAAGGGUGCGUAGGCGGGGCUGUAAGUCAGAGGUGAAAGCCCUCGGCUCAACCGGGGAAUUGCCUCUGAUACUGCAGCUCUUGAGUCCCGGAGAGGCCGCUGGAAUUCCUGGUGUAGCGGUGAAAUGCGUAGAUAUCAGGAGGAACACCGGAGGCGAAGGCGGGCGGCUGGACGGGGACUGACGCUGAGGCACGAAAGCGUGGGGAGCAAACAGGAUUAGAUACCCCAGUAGUCC
rnacentral:rRNA from 1 species